rnacentral:rRNA from 1 species
ACUUGUUUAUUCCUGCC